UUGUCUUUUACUUUUCAUUUGGGUACAGAGUUGUACUUGACUGUUAACUCCAGAUUUUACUUUGUGACAGUACUGCUGCAGGAAAAAAAGCACUGGCUACUUAAUGCCAAAGAACAUAUACCAGUUUGUUUUGUUGCCAUCUUUGUGGCUUCCAUCCAAGGUCACUUCUACUACAGAGCACCUGAAUCCAAGACUCAUUUUGCUGCAGGAGGUUGCCUAACAGGACACUAACAGUUCAUGUGUAAUGAAUUUCCAAAGCAGUAUUAAAGCAGUGGGAAGCAUUGCUUCCUUUCCUGAAUGCUUUCUGCUUCACCAUAUAGUUUUAUACAAUAGUAUUUUUUUUUACUGUUUUUCAUAAUAUCCCCACUUUGGUUGAAGAAAAAUAGGGGGGAAAAGAUGACCAACUGUGGGUAUGAUUAAAGACACACAGUGUGUAUUACUAAUGAGGACAUAAGGGAAAAAAUAAGCACACCAUCUGGUUUUAGGUACCUAAUUUAAGUUAGGAGGCUUAUCUUGUUAGGCUUUUGUAGGAGAGUGUGGGAUAGGCAGAGUUGUGCUCCUAAGCCAUCAGAUGCUCUAAAUCACCCCCUGGCAAAGCCUGCUUCCUUCUUUUCUUGCAGAGCUGGCACAGGGAGAUGAACCAUCCAGGUUGGGUGGGUAAUUCAGCUAAUCAUUCAGGAAACUUGUCAGACUGCAUUCAGGUCAGCAGUUCAUCAGUGAGUGCUAUGAAAGAUAAUCUAUGAAUGUCAAAGUUGCAGGACCUUGAAAAAAGGCAGUCAGCAGGAACAGCUUGAAAAUCUGCUGAACAGAAACACCUAAAGGGGAAAUGUUUUUCCUCUGGUACCAAGCUCAGGUCACCGCCACAGAGCCAAAGCUUGCCAUGUUCAGGUACAGCUCUGCCAUGAAACACCCAGGCUUAGCAGUUCCUUCAGAGCCCCCUUCGUCCAGCUUCAUCUGCAGCUUCUUCUCCAGAGGACACUGCUGUGCCAGUGUUCAGUUCAUCCUGUCAGCUAUGUGGCAGGGAGGGAGGAUGGCCCAGCAAAUCGGGGGGACAUUGUGAAAGGCGCUCUGGCUUCUCCUCCUGCUUCUGCUUGGGCAGGCUCCUUCAGCUGAGCAACAGUCACAGGUUUCUUCUUGGUUCGUGCUUGGUCUUGAAAAAGAUUGGCUGCUCUAUAAUCUUUCUGUCUGUAAUCUCUCUCUGUCAUUUCUCACAUACUGUUUCUUUGCGGCCCACUGGAACCCAGAGAUUUUCACCCUUGCAGAUAUCUGAAUAUCUUCAAUAAGGGCUACCUUUCCUAUUUCCUUGCAGAGAGCUGCUAUUGCUGAAAUAACUGCCUCCUAAUCUGAACACAGCGGGGAGUUCUCAGGAAGAUCAUACUUCUGAAAAUGGCUGUGCUACACCAAACCAAGGAGCACCUCAGCUCAUUAGCUGAGAGUUGCAAAACCUGAGUCCUUAAAACCCUGACUGAACUAAUACAGCUGAACUUCUGUACGCUCUUGAUUACAAUACUUGAUUGCCUAAACUGCUUACAGUAGCUAAAAAUAUCUGAUAUAUUCCAACUAUCAGUGACACAUGCAGCACAUAAUACUGGAUGCCACCCACUGGCUUGAAAUGUUUUUUCACCAUGUGCCUGACUUGCUGCAGGAGCCAGAAGGCAGGAAGAGAGACAGUUGGGGUGACAUUGAAAGAGGCUCCCUUAUUACUUACCUAACUUGGAUCAGUUUGUGGUUCAGAGUUUUGUAGUACUAAAAGCUCUUUGCAAAGUGUGAUUAUUUAAAUUGGUGCAGUCUCUCUGAUGACGUUGGAGAGCUGCUUCUAGUCCAGCAUUUCUCAGGAAAGCUGAUAGCAAAACCCAUUCCUAUAGGUUUUACAUACUUCUGACACUGUGGUUCAGUCUACUGCAACCUUUGGGUCCAUGAGAAGAUCAUGUUGGCCUCAGCUGUACCAUCCUAUGGGUGACUAACGCUUAAAAAUCUAACAUUUUGAGAAUAAAGAUAGAUCUGUUUUUCACUUUGACAUGUUCGUGGGUUCCUUCUGACAGAGUAUGCAUGCCAGUCAGACUCAAGGAAGAAGAGACCUCAACACCCACCAUCACCUUGAUUCCCUAGGCCAGCUGAGGAUCCAAGGAAGGAGUGUUUGAGAGAAGAUCCUGUAUCUCUACAUACAUUUUCUGAUGCUGUUACCUCUACCAAGCACCCCUUUUGGCAGUUUUCUGAAAAGCCCUUGUUAGCAGGAUACCUUUUCUUCCUCUUUCUACCUUUGUCUUGCAUUUGGCUCCGUUUCUGUUUAAUUCCGGGAAUGGCAGAAUGCCUUUGUUCAGUGUGACAAUCCUUGGUUAUAAGAGUCACAAAGCUGAUGCACAAGAGCUUUACUUCUGUGCCUGUUGUUCCCUUCACUUGCAGGAAGGAUGUGAAGUUUCAUCUACAACAAUCUUACUUUUAGCACAAGGGCUUGUUCUCAGGAUUAUUGUUAGCAUGGGACAUUUUAACAUUAUAUAUUAGAAUUCAUAUGAUUCUAGAAGUCUCUGCUUCAUUUCUCCCACAUGUUCAAAUAAUGGCUGUACAAAGGAGACCACUCAUCUAGCCUGUGCCAAGCAAGAACUCAUUUCUGCAAUUGAUGUACCAUCACCCAGUCUUUGCCUGCAGGACUAUGUUCUGCACAGGAAGAGUCAACUGUAGAGGGAAAUCUCCAGAAGUGGAGUACAACCAUUUAUAAACCUCUUGCAACAAAAAUCAAGUGUUUGCCAUUACAAGUCAUGCCUGGGGACUUCCAUCAUGUGUGAUUUUUCAUCCCAUGAUCUUCAAGAAUGACGUACAUGUAACUUUUAAAUCUUCUAAUACUGUGAAUGUUAGGAAGAUUAGGUCAGGCAGAGCUCAGCUAGCCAUCAAGAUGAUUUUCAUGCUUUGUCACCAACUAUUUGUUAUUUAGCCCAGAAGGCUAAAUUUGUGGUUAGGUUUGAUUGCGCAAGGUGACAGGCACAGGCUUAGCUUCCCUCUUCUUUGCAGUAUUUGAAGCUUAAUUGGUGGUUGCAGAAAGAGUCCAGAUAUCUUCAGAGACCAAAACGUUUAAAUCCAGGUGAGAAAUACUUCUGUCAGACCAACAUAUUGUGCCAAGUAGAAGAGAGCUUCAUUAAAGCAGAGCCAUGUCUGUUAAGUCCCUGUUCUGAAAUACUAGUUUUCUGACCUGAUUAGUUAUAUGGGGGUUUUAGAGGGAGACAUGAAGCACCCCCAAUUGCUCUGUGAACUAUCUCAGCAUACCACUCCUUUUCCAGAGAUACACAUCUCCUAGUUUCCCUGGUCUCUGUUGUGACUAGAUAGAUCCCAGGGAAAAUAUUGUAUGCACUUUUUAUUCUCUGCAAAGCAGGAAAAUGCCAGUUUUACAUUAGCAAAGGAAUGAGAGUUUGAUAGAGCCCUCUGUCUGCUCCACUGUGAUAUGUUAGGCAGUAAAUUUACUAAUGGCUUCUGUUACCCACCAUAUGACUGUGUGGCAAAUAUUAUGGUUUGGGAGCGCAAGUCUAGGUAAUAUGUGUCUGUGAUUUAAAGAGGCAACAGAUUAGCUCUGGCAGUGUGUUUGUAAUGGUUUAACCCCAGCCGACAGCUAAGCCCCACAGAGAUGCUCUUUCACACUCAGUGAUGGGGGAGAGAAUCAGAAGAAUAAAAGUGAGAAGAUUCAUGGCUUGAGAUAAAGCGAGUUUAAUAAGUAAAGUAAAAGCCACAUGUGCAAGCAAAGCAAAAUUCAUUCACCACUUCGCAUUGGCAGGCAGGUGUUCAGCCAUCUUUGGGGAAAGCAUGCCGUCAAGCUUUCCUUGAAGCUUUACAUGACAUGUAACGGAAGACAAACACCAUUACUCCAAAUGUGUCCCCCUCCCCUUCUUCCCCCAGCUUUACGUGCUGAGCAUGAUGCCAUAUGGUCUGGUGUAUCCCUGUGGUUAGCUGGGGAUAGCCUGUCCUGGCUG